AACGCACAUUGCGCCCUCUGGUAUUCCGGGGGGCAUGCCUGUCCGAGCGUCAUUGCAACCCUCAAGCCCGGCUUGUGUGAUGGGUGCCGUCCCCUACGGGACGCGCCCCGAAGGCAAUGGCGGCGUCGCGGUUAUCCGAUCAGCCAAAGUGUAUGGGGCUUUGUCACUCACUUUACGGCCCGGACCGGCGCCAGUCCGAAUCAAUCUUUUUUCUAAAGUUGACCUCGGAUCAGGUAGGGAUACCCGCUGAACUUAA
rnacentral:misc_RNA from 1 species